UCAUCAAAGCUUGCUUUGAUGGAUGGCGACCGGCGCACGGGUGCGUAACGCGUAUGUAACCUACCUAUAACAGGGGCAUAACACUGAGAAAUUGGUACUAAUUCCCCAUAAUAUUCGGAGAGGCAUCUCUCCGGGUUGAAAACUCCGGUGGUUAUAGAUGGACAUGCGUUGUAUUAGCUAGUUGGCAGGGCAACGGCCUACCAAGGCGACGAUCAGUAGCCGGACUGAGAGGUUGACCGGCCACAUUGGGACUGAGAUACGGCCCAGACUCC
rnacentral:rRNA from 1 species